AUACGAGGGGUGCAAGCGUUAAUCGGAAUUACUGGGCGUAAAGCGUUCGUAGGCGGUUUGUUAAGCAAGAUGUGAAAGCCCUGGGCUCAACCUGGGAACUGCAUUUUGAACUGGCAAGCUAGAAUACUGUAGAGGGUGGUGGAAUUUCCAGUGUAGCGGUGAAAUGCGUAGAGAUUUGAAGGAACAUCAGUGGCGAAGGCGGCCACCUGGACAGAUAUUGACGCUGAGGAACGAAAGCGUGGGGAGCGAACAGGAUUAGAUACCCCAGUAGUCC
rnacentral:rRNA from 1 species